UGACGAGUGGCGGACGGGUGAGUAAUGUCUGGGAAACUGCCUGAUGGAGGGGGAUAACUACUGGAAACGGUAGCUAAUACCGCAUAACGUCGCAAGACCAAAGAGGGGGACCUUCGGGCCUCUCACUAUCGGAUGAACCCAGAUGGGAUUAGCUAGUAGGCGGGGUAAUGGCUCACCUAGGCGACGAUCCCUAGCUGGUCCGAGAGGAUGACCAGCCACACUGGAACUGAGACACGGUCCAG
rnacentral:rRNA from 1 species